UUGCUUUUUGUUUCCAGUUCCGUUUCUGUAUUGGCAAGCUACGCUGCCUCCGGCAGACCUAAGUACUCUGUAGCCUCCUUUGAUGACAGAAAGGAUGAAGAUGAUCAUGUUAUGAUGAGAUCGGCAGGUAUUACUGUAGAAUUCUCAGGUUUGUGAAAGUCACCUGGGUGAAGCACAGAAGUUGGGAGCAUGUGCUGAUAGCACGUUGCCGCACCUUCCACACAUCGAACCACCUGAAUUGGGACCCGUGUGCACUGGGUGACCUCUCAGCACUACAGUGGAACAGUGUGAGUUUUUUUACAGUGGCUGGAGUGGCAAACCUGCCAACAACCCCAAGCACAGUGACUGACCAUAUUUAAAAUUGAUAGAUAUUUAGAUAACUUAAUUAUUAGCUAACCAAACAAGAUUCAUGGGACUGACUGAUAUAUUUUCAAUGAUAACUUUUUAUUUGGUCCCCGGUUGGUGGUAGUGAGGAAGACUUACAUUCUCUCUUUACUUUCAUUUUAGCAUAACAUGAGUACAAGAGUAAAAUUAUGUACUGACGCACAAUAGCAAUAAUAAUCUUAUUUUGUUUUACAAAGAGAAGGAAAAGGAGUCUCAUUUUUAAAACCUUGCCUGCAUUGGUUGGUUAUGAUAAAAAAAAAAAUUGACUUGUAGAACUUGGCAUAUGCACAUUUGUACGCAAUUUAGGAGAAAUUAUAAAUAGUUAAAAAGAGUACACAUACCUGAAGUAAAAUGGGAUGGUAUGCAGGGCACUCCAUUGAAAAUGGCUCAGAAGUGGUACAAGGGCACACUUUAGCUGAGGUUUAUACAGACCUGUGAGAUUUGGAGCCCCACAAGUAUCCAAAUGUCUCUGGGCGUAAAGCGGACUGACAUACUAGUGGCAGUCUGCCACUAUGUGAGAAAAGAUCAUUGCAGUAAAAUGAGUGCUAGCUGAAAGAAAGGGACAGAGAAAGUUUAGAAAGCCACCAGAGAAAGAAAGAGAAAUGCCUAUACAUGCCGGUAUGCACGUGCACAUGAGACUUGAUGUACUGAUAUUGUAAUAUUGUUACUAGUGAGAAGCAUGUCGCUUAGAGGGUGAAAGGAUUCCUCAAGUAAACCCUGUAGAGAUAUAAAAUGCCAAAUCAGAUGCUAGAUUUCACCUUUUGGUCUUUUGUCCUCUGAUUAACUUUUAAUGGAGAAGAGAGUGUGUUGCUGAAUAGACCCUCAAGUUACUGUGAAUAGUGGAGGGGUAUUAUAGCCUUUUGAUUAUUUGUCUUUUUUUGUUCCUUGUGGAAUCUCUUCCGGAACCACUAAUUUAUCCUUGUAAGAAGGAAACAUUUAUUUAUUUAUUUUUACUGAUUUUUUUUAGGGUGUAGAUGUACAUAUGUAAGACAGAUAUUUUUUCAUUUGUGGUGUGUCAUUACUUGUUUGACUCUUAUUGAAAAAGUUGUAUUACACUGAAAUACAACUUUUGUUUUUGGCACUUACUGCAAUAAAAGAU